AGAGUUUGAUCCUGGCUCAGAGUGAACGCUGGCGGUAGGCCUAACACAUGCAAGUCGAACGGCAGCACAGGAGAGCUUGCUCUCUGGGUGGCGAGUGGCGGACGGGUGAGGAAUACAUCGGAAUCUACUCUGUCGUGGGGGAUAACGUAGCGAAAGUUACGCUAAUACCGCAUACGUCCUGAGGGAGAAAGCAGGGGAUCGCAAGACCUUGCGCUGAUUGAGCGGCCGAUAUCAGAUUAGCUAGUUGGUGAGGUAAAAGCUCACCAAGGCGACGAUCUGUAGCGGGUCUGAGAGGAUGAUCCGCCACACUGGAACUGAGACACGGUCCAGACUCCUACGGGAGGCAGCAGUGGGGAAUUUUGGACAAUGGGGGCAACCCUGAUCCAGCCAUGCCGCGUGAGUGAAGAAGGCCUUCGGGUUGUAAAGCUCUUUCAGGUGGAAAGAAAUCUCCCGGGUGAAUACCCUGGGAGGAUGACGGUACCAUCAGAAGAAGCACCGGCUAACUACGUGCCAGCAGCCGCGGUAAUACGUAGGGAGCGAGCGUUAAUCGGAAUUACUGGGCGUAAAGCGUGCGCAGGCGGUUGUGUAAGACAGAUGUGAAAUCCCCGGGCUCAACCUGGGAACUGCGUUUGUGACUGCACAACUAGAGUACGGCAGAGGGAGGUGGAAUUCCGCGUGUAGCAGUGAAAUGCGUAGAGAUGCGGAGGAACACCGAUGGCGAAGGCAGCCUCCUGGGCCAGUACUGACGCUCAUGCACGAAAGCGUGGGGAGCAAACAGGAUUAGAUACCCUGGUAGUCCACGCCCUAAACGAUGUCAACUAGUUGUUCGGUGAGGAGACUCAUUGAGUAACGCAGCUAACGCGUGAAGUUGACCGCCUGGGGAGUACGGCCGCAAGGUUAAAACUCAAAGGAAUG
rnacentral:rRNA from 1 species